rnacentral:tmRNA from 1 species
GGGAGUGAAUUGUUUCGACAAGGGAACUAUUCAAUAAAUUGCAUGUCGAGCUGAUUGACUCGUAAAUCCAAUCAAAAAACAAGAACUGCCAACAAUAAAAUGGCUUUAGCAUACGCUUAAUAACCAUUCGGUAAACGCGUAAGCCAUCGGUUCCUAAUUUCCAAUAAGGGUAAACUGGUGUCAUACAUUGGAAUCGUUCUGGAAAGAUGCUUCAGUAUCCAGAGCUAAAUUAAGAAGCAACUUGCCUACAGUAUAAUAGGCACAGUCCUUGUGACUAAACAUGUAGAUAUUUUUUGAAAAUUCUUUUGGACGAGGGUUCGACCCCUCCACUUCCACUA